CCUACGGGAGGCAGCAGUGAGGGAUAUUGCACAAUGGAGGAAACCCUGAUGCAGCGACGCCGCGUGUACGAAGAAGUAUUUCGGUAUGUAAAGCCCUAUCAGCAGGGAGGCAGAAAUAGCGAUACCUGAGUAAGAAGCACCAGCUAAAUACGUGCCAGCAGCCGCGGUAAUACGUAUGGUGCAGGCGUUAUCCGGAUUUACGGGGUGUAAAGGGAGCGCAGGCGGCACGGCAAGCCUGAUGUGAAAGCCCGCGGCUCAACCGCGGGACUGCAGUGGGAACUACCGGGCUGGAGUGCCGGGGAGGUAGGCGGAAUUCUUAGUGUAGCGGUGAAAUGCGUAGAUAUCAGGAGGAACACCAGUGGCGAAGGCGGCCUACUGGACGGUGACUGACGCUGAGGCUCGAAAGCGUGGGGAGCAAACAGGAUUAGAUACCCUGGUAGUC
rnacentral:rRNA from 1 species